rnacentral:rRNA from 1 species
UACGUAGGGGCUAGCGUUGUCCGGAAUCAUUGGGCGUAAAGCGCGUGUAGGCGGCCCGGUAAGUCCGCUGUGAAAGUCGGGGGCUCAACCCUCGAAUGCCGGUGGAUACUGUCGGGCUCGAGUGCGGGAGAGGCGAGUGGAAUUCCUGGUGUAGCGGUGAAAUGCGCAGAUAUCAGGAGGAACACCCGUGGCGAAAGCGGCUCUCUGGGACGGUACUGACGCUAGACGCGAAAGCGUGGGGAGCAAACAGG